UACGGAGGGUGCAAGCGUUAUCCGGAAUCACUGGGUUUAAAGGGUGCGUAGGCGGCUUGGUAAGUCAGAGGUGAAAGCUUCCCGCUCAACGGGAGAACUGCCUUUGAUACUGCCAGGCUCGAAUUGGGUUGAGGCAGGCGGAAUGUGGCAUGUAGCGGUGAAAUGCUUAGAUAUGCCAUAGAACACCAAUUGCGAAGGCAGCUUGCCAAACCUUGAUUGACGCUGAGGCACGAAAGCGUGGGGAGCAAACAGGAUUAGAAACCCGGGUAGU
rnacentral:rRNA from 1 species